rnacentral:rRNA from 1 species
UGGCUGGUUUGCUACGUUCGGGAUGGGUAACCGCUGAAAGCAUCUAAGCGGGAAACUAGCUUCGAGAUUAGGUUUCCGUCCCCGUUUUUUGGGGGGGAGGUUCCCGGUAGAUUACCGGGUUGAUAGGCUAGGAGUGUAGACAUUGUAAGGUGACCAGCUUACUAGUACUAAUUGACCGAUAACUAACAAUAAA